GGCUCAGUGGUCUAGGGGUAUGAUUCGCGCUUCGGGUGCGCGAGGUCCCGGGUUUGAAUCCCGGCUGAGCCC
rfam:Taenia asiatica genome assembly, scaffold: TASK_contig0004651